AGACACACAUUUAAGUUGCCCCACAUAGUGAGUUCCAAAUUGUAACUGGAGCUCCCUAACAUGAAAUAGUUCUCGAGGGGUAGUUUCGAAAGCCAUGAGGAAAGCUUGCCGGCUGAGGACUUUCGACAUUCUAUGCAGCCACUUGUGAAAAUUGAAGACAUGGAUGCGACCAAAGGGGUUCGUAGUCCCGUCCUAAUUUCGAAUUAGGGACCCAUGGAUUCCUAGGAGUCUUCUCCUCGAAAGCUAGCUAGAGAGAGGAAAGGGUUAGAAGACAAGCGAGGGCUCUAUUGCAUCACAUGCAAUUUGGGACAACUUUCGGAGGGAAAACAGCAUUUGUCGACGCACCGGAGCGAGCCAGAGAACACGAUCGUGCAAACCUUACACGGCUGUGUGGCCAAACAGAAGAGGAGAAGUGCACGGCCGUGCAACCCUUGCACGACCGUGCGGGCAACCCAGAGGCAGAUCAGAGCAUGACCGUGCAUCCUUGCACGGUCGUGCCCCCCAUGAUCGAGACCAAGCAGCACACGGCUAUACAACCCUGCACGACCAUGUCCCCAGAGCCGAGUCCCAGUAUUACACGCCCGUGCCUAUUGGCACGACCGUGCAGAGCACCCAGAGCCAAGAAAGGGCAUGGUCGUGCCAUCCUUGCAUGGUCGUGCCGAGCGCUGCGCCCUAGCCUAUAAAAGGAGUUUUAACCCUUUUUCCGAGGGGGGGGGGGGAGAGCCGGGAGACGAGCUGUCAACAGGAGAAUCACUCUGGUGUCGUUCCACGCCGUUCAGAACAUCGGUCUAGCGAUCUUUCAUCACCACAUCAACUCCAGAAGCAAAGGAUUGGAUUCGAAGAUCACUCGUCGUCGUUGGAUAAGCAUACUUCUUCCUUCUCUCAUCGUGUUGAGAAUUUGUAUGUUUAUAUACAUCAUGUCUUCGGGUUUAUCUCCAACAUCUAUGGAGUAGAGUCCUUGUUCUACGAUGAGGGAGUAAUUGUGGAUUGAUUUUGAUGUAAGACUCAUACUAUGCUUA